AUUGAACGCUGGCGGCAUGCUUUACACAUGCAAGUCGAACGGCAGCGGGGUAGUGCUUGCACUACUGCCGGCCAGUGGCGAACGGGUGAGUAAUAUAUCGGAACGUACCGAGUAAUGGGGGAUAACCAAUCGAAAGAUUGGCUAAUACCGCAUACGUCCUGAGGGAGAAAGCGGGGGAUCGCAAGACCUCGCGUUAUUCGAGCGGCCGAUAACUGAUUAGCUAGUUGGUGGGGUAAAGGCCUACCGAGGCGACGAUCAGUAGCGGGUCUGAGAGGACGAUCCGCCACACUGGGACUGAGACACGGCCCAGACUCCUACGGGAGGCAGCAGUGGGGAAUUUUGGACAAUGGGGGCAACCCUGAUCCAGCCAUGCCGCGUGUAUGAAGAAGGCCUUCGGGUUGUAAAGUACUUUUGUUAGGGAAGAAAAGGGAAGUGCUAAUACCACUUUUUGCUGACGGUACCUAAAGAAUAAGCACCGGCUAACUACGUG
rnacentral:rRNA from 1 species